UUUUUAUAGUUUUUGCUACAAUGAAGCUUAAUAGAGUAAAGGAAAUAAGGUUUAAUUCUUUAUUUUGAGGUUUGUUCGGACUUUAUUUUAAAGAGAGAUGUGGAAAUAUUUGUUGUUAAAGAGAUCUUUCAAAAAAAGUAUUGAGAAAAAUUUAUUUGGAGUAAAAAUUUGAAAAGAAGAUAAUCAUAAAAAAAUAAAAUUUGUUAAAAAAAGUUCUUUUUGUAUCAUGAUCUGUAGAAAUAAAAAAUUAAUUUUUUGUCCCGAAAAUUUUAGAGCUACUGUGCUUAAGGAGUUUGUUGCAGAAAACUCUUAUAGAUUAUGGUGGAGGUGAUAUGCCUUUCGAAAAGGUUGAUAGCUGGUUAAGAGAAAAAUAUAUUAAAGUAUAGAGGUGAGAAAAGCUAAGAGAAAUUAGUUUUUCACUAUUCAGACCUUUUAGGUUAAGCUUGAGGGUAAAAAUAAGAGUAAGGAAGUAAAGUAGGAUUUUUAUUGUCUAUCUUGUAAAAAAUUAUUAAUAAAGUGGUUUGUUUUAAGUAAUAAUUCUGUAUCUUUUGAGUUAUAAUAACUAGUUAUAAUGUUAUAAGUAUAGAAUCAGUAGUUGUGAAGUGGAAAGAGUAAAAUGAAUACCGUUUUAAAGAGUUUUUAAGGUAAAUUUUCUAAGGUUGUAAAGAAAGACUUACAAUAUUGAAGUUUUUAGGUGAGUUGAAAUGAGUUAUAAGAAUAGAUACCUUUUUUAAAGGAAUUCGACAAAUAAGGUUUAUGCCUGUUUAACAAAAACAUCGCUUUCUGGUUUCUAAAAUAGAAAGUCGGGCCUGCCCGGUGAAUAUUAAUUAAACGGCUGCAACGAGAGUUGUGCUAAGGUAGCGCGAUAAUUUGUCUCUUAAUUGGAGAAUGGUAUGAAAGGUUUGACGUAGACCUAUUGUCUCUAAAGAAAAAAAUGAAGUUUCCUUUUAAAUGAAAAGGUUUAAAUUUUUGUAAAAGACGAGAAGACCCUGCCGAGCUUAAUUAGGUUUAUAAUUUAGUUAUUGUUACUAUUUUGUGGGCUGAAUCUUAGUUGGGGAAAGCUAAACUUAAGAGAACAAGUUUAUAAGAGACAUAGAUCCUCUUUGAGAGAAAAUUGGUAAAAGCUACCGCAGGGAUAACAGCGUAAUUUUUCUUAAGAGAUCUAAUUGAGUGAAAAGUGUGCGACCUCGAUGUUGGAUUAGGAAAACUUCUUGGUGCAGCAGCUAAGAGUGUAAGACUGUUCGUCUUUUAAAUUCCUACAUGAUCUGAGUUAAGACCGGCGUGAGCUAGGUUGGUUUCUAUCUUUAGUAAUAAUUCCUAUUGUACGAAAGGAUCCAGGUGUAAAGUUUUUCUUUGUUGACUAAUACAAUUAGUGUAAUAUUUUUCAAUAAGUUUUAGUAGAGGGUUAGGUUUACUAAUAUAAUAAUUUAAGG
rnacentral:rRNA from 1 species